GAUGAAGAACGUAGCGAAAUGCGAUAAGUAAUGUGAAUUGCAGAAUUCAGUGAAUCAUCGAAUCUUUGAACGCACAUUGCGCCCCCUGGUAUUCCGGGGGGCAUGCCUGUUCGAGCGUCAUUACAACCCUCAAGCUCUGCUUGGUAUUGGGCCCCGCCAGUUCUGGCGGGCCCUAAAGUCAGUGGCGGUGCCUUCCGGCUCCGAGCGUAGUAAUUCAUCUCGCUCUGGAGACCCGGUUGUGUGCUUGCCAACAACCCCCAAUUUUUUAAGGUUGACCUCGGAUCAGGUAGGGAUACCCGCUGAACUUAAGCAUAUCAAUAAGCGGAGGA
rnacentral:misc_RNA from 1 species